rnacentral:rRNA from 1 species
UUUUGGAUAUAAAUUAACCAGAGUACUAUGAAUAUUAAAAAUUUAAAACUCAAAGAACUUGGCGGUGUUUUAGACCACUUAGGGGAAUCUGUCUCAUAAUCGAUAAUCCACGAUAUACCUGACCUUUUUUUGUUUUCAGUUUGUAUACCGUUGUCGUCAGGUAACUUUUUAGAAACUAUAGAAGUUAGCAACAGAAAUUUAGUUCAAUACGUCAAAUCAAGGUGCAGCUAAUAAAAAGGGGGGGAUGGGUUACAAUUAUAAAUUAUAAUUACGGAAGGUGGACUUAAAAGUAAAUUAGAUAUAGAUAAUUUGAAUAAGGCUCUGAAACGUGU